AACGAACGCUGGCGGCAUGCCUAACACAUGCAAGUCGAACGAGACCUUCGGGUCUAGUGGCGCACGGGUGCGUAACGCGUGGGAACCUGCCCUUAGGUUCGGAAUAACUCCCCGAAAGGGGUGCUAAUACCGGAUAAUGUCUUCGGACCAAAGAUUUAUCGCCUUUGGAUGGGCCCGCGUUAGAUUAGCUAGUUGGUAGGGUAAAAGCCUACCAAGGCGACGAUCCAUGGCUGGUCUGAGAGGAUGAUCAGCCACACUGGGACUGAGACACGGCCCAGUAUGGUAGGGGGCAGAGCGGUAGGUAGUAUUAUAGGAUGAGCGAUAACGCAGCAAAGCAGUGCGCGGUGUGACAUGAAGCGGUUUGUGUUGUGAUUCUGUUUGAGACGAAGUGAGAGUGACGGUAACGGGUGAAUAAGCUCCGGCUAACUCCGUG
rnacentral:rRNA from 1 species